rnacentral:rRNA from 1 species
CCUACGGGAGGCAGCAGUAAGGAAUAUUGGUCAAUGGAGGCAACUCUGAACCAGCCAUGCCGCGUGCAGGAAGACAGCCCUAUGGGUCGUAAACUGCUUUUAUACGGGAAUAAACUUUGAUUCGUGAAUCAAGCUGAAUGUACCGUAAGAAUAAGGAUCGGCUAACUCCGUGCCAGCAGCCGCGGUAAUACGGAGGAUCCAAGCGUUAUCCGGAUUUAUUGGGUUUAAAGGGAGCGUAGGCGGCCUAUUAAGUCAGGGGUGAAAGACGGUGGCUCAACCAUCGCAGUGCCUUUGAUACUGAUGGGCUUGAAUAUAGUUGAGGUAGGCGGAAUGUGACAAGUAGCGGUGAAGUGCAUAGAUAUGUCACAGAACACCGAUUGCGAAGGCAGCUUACUAAGCUAUGAUUGACGCUGAGGCUCGAAAGCGUGGGGAUCAAACAGGAUUAGAUACCCUGGUAGUCCACGCCCUAAACGAUGAUAACUCGAUGUUGGCGAUAUACAGUCAGCGUCCAAGCGAAAGCGUUAAGUUAUCCACCUGGGAGUACGCCCGCAAGGGUGAAACUUAAAUGAAAUUGAGGCGAGAGACGAGCGAGGACGACGACGAGGGAGGAGG